AGGCUCCCGAGGUCCGGUCCUGGCCACGUGGCCCCGACCCGCCCUCCUCGAGCAACAGAAACUGGACUGGAUUGGGGGUGCCCUGUCUCAGUGGACACGGGACACCACGGUUUCCGGUGCUACA